ACUGAUAUUAAGAAAAUGCAGACAUCUUUACAGUUAUCUCUUUUUAUAAAGCCUCUGCUCUGUAUUGUUUAUGUUUGUUUUCUUUGGUGUUCAGCAGGUUCACAGACAGCUCUUGCUGUUUUGCAUUCUUUGCUGCCUCUGUAAAACAGGUCCUAGAGAGCAUCCAAAGGAGGGCUAUGAAGAUGGCGAAGGUUCUGGAGGGUGUUUUCUGACUCAGAGUAUUCUGUGACUCUAAAAGAGGGGCAGUGGCCAGCAAGAAUGGAAUCAUCACAAAGGGGAGAAUUUGCACUUAGUGGUGCACUCAGGGUGCUUGGUGCACUUAUCACACUUCCCUGUGUCAUACUGCUUUCUCCUCUGCCUCUGCUUUUCCACAUGAGAACUCUGCUACGUGAAGGCCAAGGUUAAAAACGAUGGUUCUAUUCUUAAAGGGGAGCUGACUGUGGUCAUGCUGAGCACUUCUCAGGAUGAGACCUGCCCAAAUAACCUCGCAUUAAAAUUCCAUGUCUGAAAGCAGCUUUGGAAAGGUAAUGGCAAAUCAAUUUCUUCUGAGGAGGAUAAACAACUGGCAACAAAUGUAGGCAGGAAAGCGUAGCUGUUCAGAGCAUCCUGCAACAGGCUUCUACCUUGGUUUCUGCUUGCUUUCUGCCUCUUGAAGAAUAAAUGAAAAUGUAUAUAGAGAAAUGAGGUUCCUAGAAAGAAGUUCAAAUUCCAGAUGGAUGAUACCACCCAGGCACCAGCUGUUGAGGAGGGCCACACGUGUCCAGGGUGUGCGUACAGUCCUUGGUAUGAGAAUCCUCCUCUCGAUUACCACUGGAGAAUGUAGCAUGUAUCAAUAUAAAUAUCGUUUUGUUAGAAGUGAAACCUUCGUCAAGCAAUACCAAGAAGCAGUCAAAGGUCACCUGGGCAAUGGAAAUGUCUUCCAUGAAGGCUGAAGCUCACAACUCUACAAGAGAAUCCAUGGUGAUCU